UCGAUUUGGUCGUUGGCCAGAAUUUUCCCCAGUGCGACUUAACAGAGAAGGGGACAUGUUUUCCUGACCACUCUUACCAACUACGAUCGUCUUUUCAUUAGAAGGAAAAACCACUGCCAAAUGCUUCCCUCCAUCCAGUUUCGGGCCUGCUGCUUGAAAGUGAAAAUUCCCCAUACUCUCUCUAAGUAAAAUGGGUCUCAUCUUAGAUCCAUCAUCAAAUGGGUUCUUAGCAAAGCUAGAAGACGGCCCACUAAGUGAGUUUGACUGUUUCAAAA
rnacentral:lncRNA from 1 species